CUACUUAGUACUAAGUGAGAUUUAGAAAAUUCACAUCCUUAGCUAUGAAUCCUUUUGAUGAGAACUUAACCUUCAGAAGGUAAGAAGGUUGAUCUCAUAGACACUGACCCCUAGGCAGUGCUAGACAAUUUGGAAACUGUGAUUGGCCCCUGUGAAAGGGGAAGGGACAAGAAGUCACCAUAAAAGCAAGCCCCGAACUCCCUCAGAGCCAAUUGUCUUUGAGAAGAUAGUCUGAAGAGAUUGUCUUCUGGAGAUAGUCUUCUGACUGGGGAGAGUCUUCGAGGGAGCUUCACUGGAUACUGUGGCUUGAAUCCUGGGUUUUGAGCUUGACUUUAACUUAGACUCUGACUCCUGGACUACUUUAUUGGUGAGUGAAAGACUGACUCCUUUCCUAGUUUCCUAAGAGACUAGCUUCCAUCUUGGAAGUAGCUAUGUGGUUACUCACUGCCAGCCUUCCUGAUUGAGAGCUAAUUAAUCUCUGCCUGGAUUAAGCAGACCUGGAGUAAACAUCUAAGUUGAUAGGAUAGAUAACCUCUCUAACCUCUUUACAUUUCUCUACUUUGUUGUUUCCUCUCCAUUUUGUAAAUAUUUGUAAAUAAAUUUCUGACUCAAGAUAUAAUAAAUAUUGGUGACCACAUAAUUUUAUAAAAUUAUUGUCCGACUAUUAAAUUUAACCCUUACACCAUUAUACAGUAUUUCUGAUACUGCACACAAUGUUCUCCUCAUUCUGCUCACUUUACUUUGUGUCACUUCCUACAAGUCUUUCCAGGUUUUUCUGAACUCAUACUGUUAAUCAUUUCUUGUGGUGCAAUAGUAUUCCCUUAUAAUAAUAUACUAUAACUUGUUCAGCCAUUCCCCAACUGGUGGACAUCCUCUCAGUUUCCAGUUCUUUGCCACUACAAAAGGAGUUGCUAAAAAUAUUUUUGUACAAAUAGAUCCUUUCCUCCUACCUAUGAUCUCUUUGGGUUUUAAUUCCAUUAGUGCUGUUGUUGAAUCAAAAUUUUCCAUACUUUUAUGCCCUUUGGGUGAGGUUCCAUAUUGCUCUCCAGAAUGGUUGUAUAAGUUCACCAUUCUACAGUGUUCUGCUGUCCCAAUUUUCUCAUAUUCAUAUUAGUUUUUAUAAGGAACAUUUUCUGGUUCUUUUACUUUAGUGCUCCACCAUGACUUUGCUUUUAACUUGUUCAUAUUUUGUAUAAAUUCUCUGGUUGUUUCUCCAUAGUAGAUUGCAAAUUCCUGAAAAGCAAGAGCUAUUUUUUGUCUGUUUUAUUUCCAGUGGUCACCCCAGUACUUAAACAUAGUAGCUACUUAAGAAAUGCAUGAAUAUUAAUUAACAAUAUCAUUACAAUAUAAUAUGUGAAUGAGAAAUAGGAGGAUCC
rnacentral:lncRNA from 1 species